CAUUACCGAGAGAAGGAGUCUAACCGGCCCCACCUCUUCACCCCUGUUUACCCACACCAUGUUGCUUCCGCGUGACUGCCGGCACUGUCGCUUUCGAUGAGAGCAGUAAUUCGGGCUGACCAGACGUGAGAGGCCUUUCAAACCCGGGCUGACCAGACGUGGGACGCCCUUUAAACCCUGUGUUCAGUGUCGUCCGAGUACAAACAAUCGUUAAAACUUUCAACAACGGAUCUCUAGGUUCCGGCGUCGAUGAAGAACGCAGCGAAAUGCGAAAAGUAAUGUGAAUUGCAGAAUUCAGUGAAUCAUCGAAUCUUUGAACGCACAUUGCGCCCUUUGGUAUUCCGAAGGGCAUGUCUGUUGGAGCGUCAUUGCACCCCUCAAGCAUUGCUUGGUCUUGGGCUUCGCCCCCGCGGCGAGCCCGAAUUCCAGUGGCGGUCCAGCGAGACUUCAAGCGUAGCAAGAUGAUCCACAUCCCGCUUUCGAAGCCGAUCUCGCUGCGCGCCGGCCAGACAACCCCAUACACUCCAAUGAUUGACCUCGGAUCAGACAGGGAUACCCGCUGAACUUAAGCAUAUCAAUAAGCGGAGGAAAAGAAACCAACAGGGAUUGCCUCAGUAACGGCGAGUGAAGCGGCAACAGCUCAAAUUUGAAAUCUGGUCCCCUUGGGGCCCGAGUUGUAAUUUGCAGAGGGUGCUUCGGGCGAGGCGCCAGCCUAAGUUCCUUGGAACAGGACGUCAUAGAGGGUGAGAAUCCCGUAUGCGGCCGGCGACCGACCCCGUGUGAAGCCCCUUCGACGAGUCGAGUUGUUUGGGAAUGCAGCUCAAAAUGGGUGGUAAAUUUCAUCUAAAGCUAAAUAACAGCCGGAGACCGAUAGCGCACAAGUAGAGUGAUCGAAAGAUGAAAAGCACUUUGGAAAGAGAGUUAAACAGUACGUGAAAUUGUUGAAAGGGAAGCGCUUGCAACCAGACCUGCGCCCGGGUGAUCAGCUUUCGUUCUCGAAGGUGCACUCGCCCGGUUGCAGGCCAGCAUCGGUUCGGGCGGCGGGAAAACAGCCGCGGGAACGUGACUUCCCCUCGGGGGAGUUUUAUAGCCCGCGGCCGCAUGCCGCCAGCCCGGACCGAGGAACGCGCUUCGGCGAGGAUGCUGGCAUAAUGGUUGUAAGCGGCCCGUCUUGAAACACGGACCAAGGAGUGGAAUAUCUAUGCGAGUGUUUGGGCGUUAAACCCACGCGCGGAAUGAAAGUAAACGGAGGUGAGAACCCGUACGGGCGCAUCAUCGACCGAUCCGGAAGUUUACGGAUGGAUUUGAGUAAGAGCAUAGCUGUUCCGACCCGAAAGAUGAUGAACUAUGCCUGAAUAGGGUGAAGCCAGGGGAAACCCUGGUGGAGGCUCGCAGCGGUUCUGACGUGCAAAUCGAUCGUCAAAUUUGGGCAUAGGGGCGCUUUUUCGCCCCUGACGACCAGUCCUUCGGGGCGAGGCUUAUGAUCUGCGGGGAUGUUCAGCUCCGUCCGAACUGCCCGCACCCAGCGCGAACGCGGCUGGGUCACAGAUCAGGCAUAGGCCGGCGCCUCCCUGCGCGGGGCGCUGAAAAUAUGAUCGGGCCGCGUCCGACGAGGUCGCAGAGCACCGGAAAGACUAAUCGAAUCAUCUAGUAGCUGGUUCCUGUCGAAGUUUCCCUCAGGAUAGCAGUAACGUUUUCAGUUUUAUGAGGUAAAGCGAAUGAUUAGAGGCCUUGGGGGUGAAACACCCUUAACCUAUUCUCAAACUUUAAAUAUGUAAG
rnacentral:rRNA from 1 species